rnacentral:rRNA from 1 species
UACGUAGGGGGCAAGCGUUGUCCGGAUUUAUUGGGCGUAAAGAGCGUGUAGGCGGCUUUACAGGUCCGUUGUGAAAACUCGAGGCUCAACCUCGAGACGCCGGUGGAAACCGUAAAGCUAGAGUCCGGAAGAGGAGAGUGGAAUUCCUGGUGUAGCGGUGAAAUGCGCAGAUAUCAGGAGGAACACCCGUGGCGAAGGCGCUGCUCUGGGCCGGUACUGACGCUGAGGAGCGAAAGCGUGGGUAGCAAACAGG